UCUCUUUUUUGUAGCACUCCUCCAUUAUUUUGAGAUAUCGUCAUAUACGGUGGUGCUGAAUGCAUGGCGGUAUAUCUACAGCUUCAUCGCAUUAUGUGUGUUGGUUGAGAUUGUACCGAAUGUUAUAUUUUUUUAUUUUUUCUUCAGUCUCAAGUGGCACCCAAACUUAUGCAGGUGGUGGUACGUGACUCCACGGAAGA
rnacentral:lncRNA from 1 species